rnacentral:rRNA from 1 species
UACGUAGGAGGCAAGCGUUGUCCGGAAUUACUGGGCGUAAAGCGCGUGUAGGUGGUGGGACAAGUCUGCUGUGAAAGCGCCUGGCUUAACCGGGCGAGGUCGGCGGAAACUGUCCGACUAGAGGACGGUAGAGGGGGGUGGAAUUCCCGGUGUAGUGGUGAAAUGCGUAGAGAUCGGGGAGGAACACCCGUGGCGAAGGCGGCCAUCUGGACCAGUACUGACGCUGAGGCACGAAAGCGUGGGGGAGCAAACAGG